AACGAACGCUGGCGGCAGGCCUAACACAUGCAAGUCGAGCGAGAAAAUCACUUCGGUGAUGAGUAGAGCGGCGAACGGGUUAGUAACGCGUGGGAACAUACCUAGUAGUGGAGGAUAACCAUUGGAAACGAUGGCUAAUACUGCAUACGCCCUACGGGGGAAAGAUUUAUUGCUAUUAGAUUGGCCCGCGUUUAAUUAGCUAGUUGGUGAGGUAAUGGCUCACCAAGGCGAUGAUUAAUAGCUGGUUUUAGAGGAUGAUCAGCAACACUGGAACUGAGACACGGUCCAGACUCCUACGGGAGGCAGCAGUGGGGAAUAUUGCACAAUGGAGGAAACUCUGAUGCAGCCAUGCCGCGUGAGUGAAGAAGGCCCUAGGGUUGUAAAACUCUUUCAGAUGUGAGGAUGAUGACGUUAACAUCAGAAGAAGCCCCGGCUAACUUCG
rnacentral:rRNA from 1 species